rnacentral:rRNA from 1 species
CUACGGGGCGCAGCAGUGGGGAAUAUUGCACAAUGGGCGCAAGCCUGAUGCAGCCAUGCCGCGUGUAUGAAGAAGGCCUUCGGGUUGUAAAGUACUUUCAGCGGGGAGGAAGGGAGUAAAGUUAAUACCUUUGCUCAUUGACGUUACCCGCAGAAGAAGCACCGGCUAACUCCGUGCCAGCAGCCGCGGUAAUACGGAGGGUGCAAGCGUUAAUCGGAAUUACUGGGCGUAAAGCGCACGCAGGCGGUUUGUUAAGUCAGAUGUGAAAUCCCCGGGCUCAACCUGGGAACUGCAUCUGAUACUGGCAAGCUUGAGUAUAGUAGAGGGGGGUAGAAUUCCAGGUGUAGCGGUGAAAUGCGUAGAGAUCUGGAGGAAUACCGGUGGCGAAGGCGGCCCCCUGGACGAAGACUGACGCUCAGGUGCGAAAGCGUGGGGAGCAAACAGGAUUAGAUACCCCCGUAGUC